rnacentral:rRNA from 1 species
GUCUACGGCCAUACCAUCCUGAACAUGCCCAAUCUCUUCUGACCUUGGAAGCUAAGGAGGGUGGGCCUGGUUAGCACUUGGAUGGGAGAGUCAUAUUAGGACCUAAAGCAGCGAAGUAA